rnacentral:siRNA from 1 species
GAAGGUUCCCACCACUCUUAAUGU